rnacentral:lncRNA from 1 species
AAAAUCCAAGCAAAUUUCCUGGACUUUAAACUCCAUGACAGCAGUAGGUCAGCAUCGUCUUACUUUACCUACCCACAGUAACAUCAACUGAUUGACAGUGUUUGAAUGUAUUACUACCUUAAAUACAGGGGGAGUGACAGCCUAUGUGUUAACACAUCACAGACUCUUCAAAGACUAAAGACUUGAUCCAUCUUCCUCCAAAUAUCUCCUACCUGCCA